AACUGGAAAGACAGGCUUCCAUUCUGAGGGAACAAGGUGCUAGGCUUGAGGCAGGAAGAAGUGAAGCAAGAGUAGCUUAAAGUGGGGGCGCAAUUGUCCUUUCUUCAGGUUCCACAAAUGGCUGCAGCCAAGAGGACUUUGGAGCACCGUCCCCAGAGAAGCUCACCUGAAGCAAACUUUCAUGUGUUUUUGACACAAGAUGACCUUUCAAUUUUUACAGGCCUACUAAACCUUUGUUGUCAGUGGUU